rnacentral:rRNA from 1 species
UACGUAGGGGGCUAGCGUUGUCCCGGAUUUAUUGGGCGUAAAGAGCGUGUAGGCGGCCAGGUAGGUCUGCUGUGAAAACUCGAGGCUCAACCUCGAGAUGUCGGCGGAAACCAUCUGGCUAGAGUCCGGAAGAGGAGAGUGAAUUCCUGGUGUAGCGGUGAAAUGCGCAGAUAUCAGGAAGAACACCCGUGGCGAAGGCGGCUCUCUGGGACGGUACUGACGCUGAGACGCGAAAGCGUGGGGAGC